UGGGGAAUAUUGCACAAUGGGGGAAACCCUGAUGCAGCAACGCCGCGUGAAGGAAGACGGUUUUCGGAUUGUAAACUUCUUUUCUUAGUGAAGAAGCAAGUGACGGUAGCUAAGGAAUAAGCAUCGGCUAACUACGUGCCAGCAGCCGCGGUAAUACGUAGGAUGCGAGCGUUAUCCGGAAUUACUGGGUGUAAAGGGAGCGCAGGCGGGACUGCAAGUUGGAUGUGAAAUACCGCAGCUUAACUGCGGAGCUGCAUCCAAAACUGUAGUUCUUGAGUGGAGUAGAGGCAAGCGGAAUUCCGAGUGUAGCGGUGAAAUGCGUAGAUAUUCGGAGGAACACCAGUGGCGAAGGCGGCUUGCUGGGCUCUAACUGACGCUGAGGCUCGAAAGUGUGGGGUAGCAAACAGGAUUAGAUACCC
rnacentral:rRNA from 1 species